rnacentral:lncRNA from 1 species
CCGGGUCGACUUAAGGCCGCCGGGACCCGUAGCAAGCUUGACAUAAAACUUGUAAACCUGUAUAAUCCCAUACAUGAUCAACAACAUGCAUAAAAAUUAAAACUUUUCUUUCCUUUGAACAUCAACCAAACUCAACCUGUGCAUAACAUUAACAUAACUUUGAUCCCUCUGUGGGAUCUCAUCUGUGCCCUCAAUGGGUAACAUACAUCUGUUGAGUUGGUUUACAUAAACAUCAACAAAAUCUCUAAGAUCAUGUAUAAAAGGGAUACAACAAUCUA